GAACUGGACUGUCUGACCGACAUGUGAGCUCGGUCUUUACUUCGAUGAAUUGAGCUUUGAGUCUCCUUCAUCCGAUCGGGCUCUCAGGUCAUGUUGUCCGAGCUGAAUUGACCGACCUGAGAGUUCUGUCUUUGCUUAGUGAAAUGAGCUCUGAGUUUCCUUUAGCUGGCCGAGCUCUCAAGUCAUGCUGUCUGAGCUGGACUAAUCNN
rnacentral:lncRNA from 1 species